rnacentral:rRNA from 1 species
AGUGAACGCUGGCGGUAGGCCUAACACAUGCAAGUCGAACGGCAGCACAGUAAGAGCUUGCUCUUACGGGUGGCGAGUGGCGGACGGGUGAGGAAUACAUCGGAAUCUACUUUUUCGUGGGGGAUAACGUAGGGAAACUUACGCUAAUACCGCAUACGACCUACGGGUGAAAGCAGGGGAUCUUCGGACCUUGCGCGAUUGAACGAGCCGAUGUCGGAUUAGCUAGUUGGCGGGGUAAAGGCCCACCAAGGCGACGAUCCGUAGCUGGUCUGAGAGGAUGAUCAGCCACACUGGAACUGAGACACGGUCCAGACUCCUACGGGAGGCAGCAGUAGGGAAUAUUGGACAAUGGGCGCAAGCCUGAUCCAGCCAUACCGCGUGGGUGAAGAAGGCCUUCGGGUUGUAAAGCCCUUUUGUUGGGAAAGAAAAGCAGCAGGUUAAUACCCCGCUGUUCUGACGGUACCCAAAGAAUAAGCACCGGCUAACUUCGUG